CUCUAUAACUGACAAAACACACAAAUACAACAGAUUAUAUGUUUUGUAAGUAUUCUGAAAUACACUACUAAAAUGUUUCAGCUGAUGCAUCUUUUUUUUAUUAAGGAGUGGUUUAUGUGGAUCCUUGACGCUACUAUCCUGCCUGAUUUACUGAAGAAAUCAACUCUUUGGAUUGUACCUGCAUAUUUUUUUCUGAAACUUGUUAGACACUGAGAUUUAUUCCCUCUCCUUUAUACUUUUAGAGGCAGCAUUAAUACUAGUGAAUGGGUAACUAACUACAAGAACAAUACUGGGUGAGACUGCCUGGCCUCAUCUCAGUUUUACUUUCUUUCAUGUUUAUGUACUGUAUGUACAUUUGUCUUUAAAUAUUUGUAAACUUAAACAGAUAAAAUAGAAAGAAAUGAAUUAUCCACAUUAGUUUAUUUAGACUUUGAUUUCAAACAGAAAGGCUCCAUUUUGUGUUUGCAAGGUAAUCACAAAAAUAUUGUAAUUUGUACUUUUUUCUAAACUGGAUCCUUAUAUUUUUUACAUAAUAAAAAUGAACAAAGUAAAUUUUUAAGACAUGAAUUAUAGUCAAAACCAAAACAAUAAAGAAUUUUGCUUUAAAUCUAUAAACGGAUCUUGCCCUAAAACAUCUUAUCCUUUUUAUAUUCGUGUGCCACUAUAUCUUUUUUUUGGCACUGCAAUUGUGAUCACAGUUCUUGGAAAUCUAAUGGUCAUUGUCUCUAUAUGUCAUUUUAAACAGCUUCACACUCCAACUAAUUUUCUUCUUCUUUCUUUGGCAUCGACAGAUUUGCUGUUAGGAGGGUUCAUAAUGGCCCCAAGCAUGAUUCGUUCUUUAGAAAGCUGUUGGUAUUUUGGAGAUUUAUUUUGUAAAAUUCACGUUAGCCUUGACAUCACACUUUCUACUGCCUCACUGAUUCACCUUCUCUUCAUUUCAAUUGAUCGUUAUUGUGCUGUGUGUUAUCCUUUGCACUACCAGACCAAAAUAACUUCAUGUGCUGCAGGUAUAAUGAUUGCCAUUAGCUGGAUAUUUGCAGGAAUUUAUGGAUGCUUUAUGUGUUUAAAUAUACAGGGACUAGAUGGGUUACAAAACCAUAAGUCUCAGUGUCUUGGGGGAUGUCUUUAUAUAUCAAGUCCAUUAUCAGGACUUGUUUCAUCACUGUUAUGUUUUUAUUUCCCAGGGUUCAUUAUGCUAGGCAUUUAUACUAAUAUUUUCAUAGUAGCAAGUAGACAAGCAAAAAUAAUCAAACAGACUGAACAGAGAGGGCAGACGGCUAAAGAAAAGAAAAUGGCAGUAUCAAUGAAACAAGAAAAGAAGGCUGCAAGAACGCUAGGGAUAACAAUCGGGUGCUUCUUUAUAUGUUGGUUGCCCUUUUUCCUGUACAGUUUUAUAAAUACAUUUGUGCAAUGCCAAACCUCAGCUUUUGUAACAGAACUGCUUUACUGGUUUGGUUAUUUGAAUUCUGCAUUUAAUCCUUUCAUUUAUGCAUUUAUGUUUAACUGGUUCAGAAAAUCUUUUCAAAUUAUAUUGUAUGGCAAAAUUUUUAAACCCAAUUCUUCUAGAAUAAAGCUGGUUAAACAUUAAUAUGUAAUAGGAGCGUUUAUCUUUAAAGAGUCAACAAAAUAUGAAAGCAGAACAACAGAGUUAGAAGCUGAGUGAGAUACUAAAAUAGUCUUUUGUCAUGGUUAAACUAGCGUUUCUGAAGUUUUUUGCUUUAGUUUUUGAGGAGUCAAAACUUAUACUGGCAAUACAAAGUGUACGAAAAGUCAAUAUUGGAGUUUAUUCCACUACAGGGCACAGCAAGACACCCUUUAAACAAACCUACACAUCUUUAGAAUGUAAGAAGAAAACAAAUUACAGGUAAAAAAAACACAUUCACACACAGAGAGAACACACAAAUUACCCACUGAACUGGAACCCAAUGGAACUAACAACUACUAUAUGCCACUAUUCUGCCCUAACUUUUAAUGUAAAUGUUCAUAAUUAUAAUGUAACUAUAUCAUAAUAACUAGACAGAAAAUGUGUUUAAUAAUGCUAUUGUCAUUUAAAAAAUAGUAAUGUUACUGGUAAUAACUUAAAAAGAAAAUAAAUAUUGCAGACAACAGCAGAUUAUUUGGCCAAAUCAAGCUACUUAGUUGACUAAGAGCUAAGUUGUCUCAUUAUGUCAUUCAGCUACUUUCUGUUUUAAAUUUUUUUCAGGUCAUUCAUUUCAGCUAUAUGAUUCACUCAUUUGUAUCCAGAUUUCUACAAGCUUUUUUAUAAAAUUGAUUUCCUAGUUUUAUUUUUUUGUCAUGAUUGCACCUCUUAAUUUCCUUCCAUUUUCUUAAGUACAAAACUGUUCAUCUGAUGGGAUUCUACUUGAGUAGCUUUAUUGAUAUCUUUGAAAAUUCUGAUGAUCAAGAUUAGCUACAUAGGCAGCACAUGUAUGUGCUUAAAGAAGUUUAGUUCCUUUGCUGUGCCAUGAUAGGUCUGUCGCAGAAAAUUACAAAAAGUACAUUUCUGUUAAAGCUUUUUUUUCUUUUCUUCUGUAUGAAAUUGAGUGUUCUGGGUGUAUUUCUACUAUAAAAACAAAAUAUUCUCUAUCCACCAUGUCCUAUUCAGUUACCAAGGGAAUGAUGAGAUAAUUAUAAAUACAUAUAGUCUUUUUUCAUAGGAUUUAUAAAUAAGAAGUUUUUUUCAGAGCUAAAUGUGUGUGUCAAAGACUUUUAACAUGUUAACUAUUUUAGGAUCAUUAGAUUAUAUUGAAAACAUUGGUAUGUUCCUAGGUUAUACCAUUUGUUUAGUGCUAAUUGGU